GACGAACGCUGGCGGCGUGCUUAACACAUGCAAGUCGAACGGAAAGGCCCUGCUUUUGUGGGGUGCUCGAGUGGCGAACGGGUGAGUAACACGUGAGUAACCUGCCCUUGACUUUGGGAUAACUUCAGGAAACUGGGGCUAAUACCGGAUAGGAGCUCCUGCUGCAUGGUGGGGGUUGGAAAGUUUCGGCGGUUGGGGAUGGACUCGCGGCUUAUCAGCUUGUUGGUGGGGUAGUGGCUUACCAAGGCUUUGACGGGUAGCCGGCCUGAGGGGGUGACCGGCAACAUUGGGCCUGAGAUACGGCCCAGCCUCCGACGGGAGGAAGGAGGGGGGAAUAGUGAACACGGGGAGGACGCCUGAGGCAGCACCGCCGCGGGGGGGAUGACGGCUUGCGGGUUGUAACCCUGUUCCGCCGGGGACGAGGGGGGAGGGAGGGGAAGGGAUAAAGAAGCACCGGCUAACCACGUG
rnacentral:rRNA from 1 species